rnacentral:rRNA from 1 species
GACGAACGCUGGCGGCAUGCCUAACACAUGCAAGUCGAGCGAGUUAAUCCCUUCGGGGUGAAGCUAGCGGCGGACGGGUGAGUAACACGUGGGCAACCUGCCUCAUAGAGGGGAAUAGCCUUCCGAAAGGAAGAUUAAUACCGCAUAAGAUUGUAGCUUCGCAUGAAGCAGCAAUUAAAGGGGCAAUCCGCUAUGAGAUGGGCCCGCGGCGCAUUAGCUAGUUGGUGAGGUAACGGCUCACCAAGGCGACGAUGCGUAGCCGACCUGAGAGGGUGAUCGGCCACAUUGGGACUGAGACACGGCCCAGACUCCUACGGGAGGCAGCAGUGGGGAAUAUUGCACAAUGGGGGAAACCCUGAUGCGGCAAUGCCGCGUGAGUGAUGACGGCCUUCGGGUUGUAAAGCUCUGUCUUCGGGGACGAUAAUGACGGUACCCGAGGAGGAAGCCACGGCUAACUACGUGCCAGCCGCCGCGGUAA